UAUAUAUGCAAAUCAUAUAGAACAUUUAUCAGCACAUGAAUUCUGGAUUACUGCAUGUAUUGUAAACACAAAGAACACUUGUUACAUGUCUGUAUUGGGCAGGAACUGGGAGCUGCCCAUUUCAUUAAUCAAGAAAGAGCUCAAGAGACUAGCUCUCACAUUCACACUUUGAUAUUAAGCAAAGAGAUGAGGAAUUUAAAAAAAGAAAGAGUUGGAGGCUGCUA
rnacentral:lncRNA from 1 species